rnacentral:rRNA from 1 species
GACGAACGCUGGCAGCGUGCCUAAUACAUGCAAGUAGAACGCUGAAGAGAGGAGCUUGCUCUUCUUGGAUGAGUUGCGAACGGGUGAGUAACGCGUAGGUAACCUGCCUUGUAGCGGGGGAUAACUAUUGGAAACGAUAGCUAAUACCGCAUAACAAUGGAUGACACAUGUCAUUUAUUUGAAAGGGGCAAUUGCUCCACUACAAGAUGGACCUGCGUUGUAUUAGCUAGUAGGUGAGGUAAUGGCUCACCUAGGCGACGAUACAUAGCCGACCUGAGAGGGUGGUCGGCCACACUGGGACUGAGACACGGCCCAGACUCCUACGGGAGGCAGCAGUAGGGAAUCUUCGGCAAUGGGGGCAACCCUGACCGAGCAACGCCGCGUGAGUGAAGAAGGUUUUCGGAUCGUAAAGCUCUGUUGUAAGUCAAGAACGGGUGUGAGAGUGGAAAGUUCACACUGUGACGGUAGCUUACCAGAAAGGGACGGCUAACUACGUG